UGACGCCAUCUUUUAUGCUGCUGGCGGAACAGUGUGUCUCUGAUGUAACCUCGCGUCUCAAAGUAGCGGUCAUCUGAAUGAACAAGGAAGUAAACAAGACCAUUUAUUUACUGUACGAGAUGGCCAUCAUUCGUAUGUUGUUCUCUUUCCUGAACAAUCCACGAGUCAUUGAGAAACUAGCGGAGUCUCGUCCUAUCCGACGUGCGGCACAGAUCACAGCUUUUGCGAUCAUCAAAGCACAAAUCGCUGGGAAGGUUGCGACGGCGAAGGUCCUGAAGUCAGACACGCUACGCCGGGUUCGGCAAGAGGCAAACGGACGGAUUCCCCGAGACGCUGGUGACAUCGGGACCCGGUUCAGAAGAGUGAGGGAGACUUUUGUCAAGGAGGUGAAAGAUGGCUUCAGAGACGCUCAGGGACAAAUAAAGAAAUGAAGAAAUUAAAGCAGUAGUCUUAUGUCUGUAUGACAGACAAACAAUCAUGUGAACUGUUGAUAACAUGACUCGUCCCACAACUGUCUAGGCCGACUACUAUUACAUCACUGAGCCAAUAUUUUUAAUAUAUUGACGGGAACACUAAGCUACUGGUAAACCAGCUACUAUGUCUCAAAACAUACUCAAGAUUAAUUUUCCAUCAGGGAGAUAUCAUCAUGUAAUGAGUGUGGAUUGUUUUUCUGACUGGUUUAAAAACAAAGUUGCGCCCCUGUAAUGAAUGUUGGGUUUUGUGGUUAGUUAGCCUACUGUAACACGUCUACAUACUGGAGACAGAUUUGUUGCAAUCUACCCAGUAGUCUUUAUUCAGGAGUUUGUGUUUGUAGAUAUGGAAUUGUCUACCUGAUCUGACUUGCAGAAUACCAUCAUAUAGUAUGUUUGCUGUAAUGCAGCCCCACGUCAGUUCCCAUGACAUAUUAUGACUUGAUGUGUUUGGAUUGUCCUCACCUAUUGGCCAAAUCUUAGUGUGCUUUUAAAUGAAAUGUCAUGUAUUUUACCAAAAAAAGAUUUCAGAUUAAAAAAAUGACUUGACAACACGAGGUUUAGGCCUCUAUUCAAUCAAUCCGUAUUGUGGAAAAUUCUGCACUAAAGUCCAAUUGAAAUUCAAAGGCAAUGUUGGCUUUCACGGGAAGCGCUGCAUGUCGGGCUCAAUCGGAAUUUACCUUUACAUUUCUAUUGCGAAAUCUUUAACUUCAGUGAUAUGGAUUGAAUAGAGCACUUCGUCACCGACCCCAGCGUGUGUUUUACACCUGAGGAGGAAGCUGACUGACAAGUUCGGCAGUAUCUUUGAAAUAAGUGUCUUAACAACACUGAUAUUGUGGGUAGCAGACAGUUAGGGCUAGGCUAGCUAGUACAAAAGUAAUUGCUUUUUUUGUGAGUCUGCUAAUGGCUAAGUGUAGCAUUGUGUUGAUUACUGUGUGUAGACGAACCUCAACUCACCUUGCAUGUUUAAAGUUCACUGUUUCACAGGUUGGCCCAUAAAGAGGCUAUAAUAACCGUCCUUGGUUCUGAACCUUGAGUCCCUGAACCUCACAAACUCUUCCAACAACUUCCAUUCAAACUGCCGUUGCAGCAAAGAACGCACAGUCCAUGAUUGUGUGCGAGUAUACUUCAUUGUAACUUUAAACAAUCAACGUGGAGAUUGUCACGUCCACCAAGAAUGUAUUGCACAGUCCUUGACUCUGUAGAUGGGCUGACUGACACAAUGUACAGGCUCUCAUUCACAACCUACUACGACAGUAAAAUGUUUCAAGAUGGACCACCAGCUUCCAUAUGCAGAUUUUUAAUAAGAACAGCAGAGAAUUCUUAAAGAAGCAGUUUUGUAGCAAUACUUAUGCAGACGCACUGGCCUGGCAACUAAAUAUUAGUUACAUGUUUAUCAUUUAAUUGAAGAAAUUGCUAUAACUUUGAAGGCAAGCGUUUGUUUCUGACAGAAAUGAGUCAGUACUCUACAUAUACACUGAUAUGGUAGCUGAGCAUCAUAUAAACUUAUCUCUCAUUGAAAUACACAUACAAGUCAAGCUGAUAUACUGGACAGGAACACAAAAUUGCAUGAGAGUAGCAAAAAUAAAUCGAACAGUGCGCCGUCACAAUGCAGGAAUCAGGUUUGGGUUGAGUUCCAUUCCUUAUAAUCACUAUUGUUAUAGAUCAUGUGUACAACAUUGAAAUGUAAUAUAAGAAUUUAAACCUGACUCUGUAAUUUUCAAAAUUCCACAUGACUUUAAAAUCAAAGUACACCUAAGUUUCAAAAGCAAAAAAACAAGGAUGGCUUGUUCAAUGUUCUCUCCAAAACAAGUGUAUAUCAGGUGCAAGCAGGUUCCAAUCCAUAAUAUUUAUCAGUAGGCUAUAAUUCACAUCAUUCUUAUCGUAGAAUUUGAUUACCAGCCAAGCAAAUGGAAACUUCUAGGCCUCUAUUCACGCUGUAACGCUGAACUUCCCGCGAUACGGAUUGAAUCGAGACCCUAAAUACAGAUAGUGAGCAAGUUGUCUUAGCUUAAAUGUUUGUCUUUCCAGGAUUUGGGGAGAACAUAUGAAUAAAACACCCCCUAUUUGACUCUUUUCAAAACAUUUCACAACACACAUCCUGUAGUUCAAGCAGUGCAUAUUCACUGAUAUGGCAUUAGCUUAUACAGUAAAGGCAGAAUGUGCAAAACACGUCAUAUUCCCAGAUAUGGCUUGUGUCCAUAAGUAGUACUCACAAUAGUCAGUGUAAGCAA